rnacentral:rRNA from 1 species
UACAGAGGGUGCAAACGUUGCUCGGAAUCAUUGGGCGUAAAGCGCACGUAGGCGGCCCAGCAAGCGGGGAGUGAAAGCCCUCGGCUUAACCGAGGAAGUGCUUUCCGAACUACUGGGCUUGAAUACUGGAGAGGGUCGCGGAAUUCCCGGUGUAGAGGUGAAAUUCGUAGAUAUCGGGAGGAACACCGGUGGCGAAGGCGGCUCGCUGGGCAGUGGCUGACGCUGAGGCGCGACAGCGUGGGGAGCAAACAGG